UACGAAGGGUGCAAACGUUGCUCGGAAUUAUUGGGCGUAAAGCGCACGUAGGCGGCCCAGCAAGUCGGAAGUGAAAUCCCACGGCUCAACCAUGGAAGUGCUUUCGAAGCUGCUGGGCUUGAGUACAAAAGAGGAUCGCGGAAUUCCCGGUGUAGAGGUGAAAUUCGUAGAUAUCGGGAGGAACACCAGUGGCGAAGGCGGCGAUCUGGGUUGAUAC
rnacentral:rRNA from 1 species